UACGUAGGGGGCAAGCGUUGUCCGGAAUCAUUGGGCGUAAAGCGCGUGUAGGCGGCUGGCUAAGUCCGCUCUGAAAGCCCGGGGCUCAACCCCGGGAGGCGGGUGGAUACUGGUCAGCUCGAGUCCGGAAGAGGAGUGUGGAAUUCCUGGUGUAACGGUGAAAUGCGCAGAUAUCAGGAGGAACACCAAUGGCGAAGGCAGCACUCUGGGACGGUACUGACGCUGAGACGCGAAAGCGUGGGGAGCAAACAGG
rnacentral:rRNA from 1 species